GCUAACACAUGCAAGCCGAGCGGUAGACAUCUUUCUUGAUCUUGAGAGCGGCGUACGGGUGCGGAACACGUGUGCAACCUGCCUUUAUCAGGGGGAUAGCCUUUCUAAAGGAAAAUUAAUACCCCAUAAUAUAUUGAGUGGCAUCACUUAAUAUUGAAAACUCCGGUGGAUACCAAUGGGCACGCCCAAAAUUAGAUAGUUGGUGAGGGAACGGCUCACCAAGUCUGCGAUCUUUACGGGGCCUGACAGGGUGAUCCCCCACACUGGUACUGACACACGGACCAUACUCCUACGGGAGGCAGCAGUGAGGAAUAUUGAACAAUGGGUGCGAGCCUGAUCCAUCCAUCCCGCGUGAAGGACGACGGCCCUAUGGGUUGUAAACUUCUUUUGUAUAGGGAUAAACCUACUCUCGUGAGAAUAACUGAAGGUACUAUACUAAUAAGCACCGGAUAACUCCGUGCCAUCAGCCGCGGUAAUACGGAGGGUGCAAGCGUUAUCCGGAUUUAUUGGAUUUAAAGGGUCCGUAGGCGGAUCUGUAAGUCUGUGGUGAAAUCUCACAACUUAACUGUGAAACUGCCAUUGAUACUGCAGGUCUUGAGUGUUGUUGAACUAGCUGGAAUAAGUAGUGUACCGGUGAAAUGCUUAAAUAUUACUUAGAUCUCCAAUUGCGAAGGCGGGUUACUAAGCAACAUCUGACGCUGAUGGACGAAAGCGUCGAGAGCGAACAGGAUUAGAUACCCUGGUACUCCACGC
rnacentral:rRNA from 1 species